CUUGGUCAUUUAGAGGAAGUAAAAGUCGUAACAAGGUUUCCGUAGGUGAGCCUGCGGAAGGAUCAUUAAAGAACGCCCCGUUUUUUGAAAUGGGUAAUUCCCAAACCGUGUCUAUAUAUACCUUUGUUGCUUUGGCAGGUCGCCUUCUAGGCGUCGGCUCCGGCUGACUGCGCCUGCCAGAGGACCCAAACUCGUUUUGUUUAGUGUCUUCUGAGUACUAUAUAAUAGUUAAAACUUUCAACAACGGAUCUCUUGGUUCUGGCAUCGAUGAAGAACGCAGCGAAAUGCGAUAAGUAAUGUGAAUUGCAGAAUUCAGUGAAUCAUCGAAUCUUUGAACGCACAUUGCGCCCGGUGGUAUUCCGCCGGGCAUGCCUGUUCGAGCGUCAUUAGUCCAAAUCACGCCUGGCGUGGUCUUGGGGCCUGCCUCUGGGCAGCCCUUAAACGCAGUGGCGGCGCCGUCUGGCUCUAAGCGUAGUAAUUCUUCUCGCUAUAGGGUCCUCCGGAUGCUUGCCAGCAACCCCCAAUACUUUAGGUUGACCUCGGAUCAGGUAGGGAUACCCGCUGAACUUAAGCAUAUCAAUAAGCGGAGGA
rnacentral:rRNA from 1 species